rnacentral:rRNA from 1 species
GGGUGCUAUCUUACCAGCGCUAAUGGAGCGGAUCCCAUCAGAACUCCGAAGUUAAGCGUGCUUGGGCGAGAGUAGUACUAGGAUGGGUGACCCCCUGGGAAGUCCUCGUGUUGCACCCC